rnacentral:rRNA from 1 species
AGAAUCAACGCUGGCGGCGUGCCUAACACAUGCAAGUCGCACGAGAAAGGGACUUCGGUCCUGAGUACAGUGGCGCACGGGUGAGUAACACGUGAAUCAUCUACCUUCGAGUGGGAAUAACUGAGAGAAAUCUUAGCUAAUACCGCAUAAUACCUACGGGUCAAAGCAGCAAUGCGCUUGAAGAGGAGUUCGCGGCAGAUUAGUUAGUUGGCGGGGUAACGCCCACCAAGGCAGCGACGGGUAGC